rnacentral:lncRNA from 1 species
CUGCUCUGAGCUGCAGGUCAUUGAAGGAAGAUAGUAAUGUGCUUUUGUUAAAAUUAAUAGAUAUAUUCUGUUUUCUUUUACAUUCAUUUUAAAUUUGAAGCCAAAUAAAACCCAAAUUCCUUUCUUUCUUUCUUUUUUUAUUUUUUAAAUAGCACUUAAGUUGAAUAAGUUUUACCUAAGGAAUCAUUUUUUAAGGCCCAGAAUACAAAAGCCCAAAGUUUAAUGUCAUCUCUUUCCUGGUCACUAAAUCUAUCUAACUGCACUAAGUCCUUCAAAAAUAAACUGCAAGCCAGAAGUUUCAUCUUGGAUCUUGUUAAUACUUUUGUGAAGUGACAUUUAACUUCCUGUACCUCAUGCCCUACUUCUGCAACACAUAUGACAUAUAAUACUUUUCUAAGUAAAUAAUUUUAUAUGAACAUAUAUUUCACCUUAUAUUCUUAAUCUUAGUAACAGUAUUCCCUCAAUCACAUGAAAUCCUGUUAUUUGUUAUGUUAUCAAAUUCUGUUUCUCUUUAAUUUGGUAAAUUCAUCAGGGAUUAGAGGAAAAAAAACAGAAACCACUCUAGGCACUUUAAGCAGGGAGAUAUUUGAUACAGAGAAUUAAACACUUAGGAAGUCAUUAUAAGUGCUGCAGGAGCAUGCUCUUAGAAUGCAGUGGGCCUCCAGGAACAUCUCCAUGAAUAACACAGCUUUGAAUAACCAUAGCCUUGAAGAGAGAAUACCACUAGGGCUAUGCUGAAAGCAAGAAACCGUCACUGUCAUCUUGUAACUACAUCUUCUCAACUCCAGGAAACUGGAGAAAGGAUAACAAAAUACACUGUAGGGAAGCCCCAUCAAUCUAUAUUUCUAGCCUGUAAUCAUAGGCAAGAGCUACAGGAAGGUAAAUGUCACCUCAUUUUUGUAUUUUGGACCAUCAACAAAUAUAUCUAAGCAGCAAAAUACAUUAUCUAGAACCUAGAAGGGGCUCUGGGAAAUCUUGUUUUAUUUUUUCUCUUUUUAGUCUCUGAAAAUAAGACAAAACAGAGGUUGAAAGUCACAUUCCUAAGAACCAAGCACUUAUCUGAAUAUCAGCCUCAACUGACAGUAAACCAGUGUGGUAUCUCAGUGGCCAAAAUCUACAAAUCUGGUCCACAUCCAUCAUAGUAGCACUCACAAAACAGACAAAGCUUAAUCAUAUCAGAAGAUUAAAUGACAGAAUUUCUUGUGAUCUUAUAUCUGAUUGAAGAAGGAAAAAUUAUUUAAGG